UAGCUCAGGUGGUUAGAGCAUCACGUUGACAUCGUGGGGGUCGUUGGUUCGAGUCCA
rnacentral:tRNA from 1 species